rnacentral:rRNA from 1 species
AUUGAACGCUGGCGGCAGGCUUAACACAUGCAAGUCGAGCGGGGGAAGGUAGCUUGCUACUGGACCUAGCGGCGGACGGGUGAGUAAUGCUUAGGAAUCUGCCUAUUAGUGGGGGACAACAUCUCGAAAGGGAUGCUAAUACCGCAUACGUCCUACGGGAGAAAGCAGGGGAUCUUCGGACCUUGCGCUAAUAGAUGAGCCUAAGUCGGAUUAGCUAGUUGGUGGGGUAAAGGCCUACCAAGGCGACGAUCUGUAGCGGGUCUGAGAGGAUGAUCCGCCACACUGGGGCUGAGAAACGGCCCAGACUCCUACGGGAGGCAGCAGUGGGGAAUAUUGGACAAUGGGGGGAACCUUGAUCCAGCCAUGCCGCGUGUGUGAAGAAGGCCUUAUGGUUGUAAAGCACUUUAAGCGAGGAGGAGGCUACUCUAGUUAAUACCUAGGGAUAGUGGACGUUACUCGCAGAAUAAGCACCGGCUAACUCUGUGCCAGCAGCCGCGGUAA